GACGAACGCUGGCGGCGUGCUUAACACAUGCAAGUCGAACGGAAAGGCCCUGCUUUUGUGGGGUGCUCGAGUGGCGAACGGGUGAGUAACACGUGAGUAACCUGCCCUUGACUUUGGGAUAACUUCAGGAAACUGGGGCUAAUACCGGAUAGGAGCUCCUGCUGCAUGGUGGGGGUUGGAAAGUUUCGGCGGUUGGGGAUGGACUCGCGGCUUAUCAGCUUGUUGGUGGGGUAGUGGCUUACCAAGGCUUUGACGGGUAGCCGGCCUGAGAGGGUGACCGGGCACAUUGGGACUGAGAGACGGACCAGACUCCUACGGGAGGCAGCAGUGGGGAAUAUUGCACAAUGGGCGGAAGCCUGAUGCAGCAACGCCGCGUGCGGGAUGACGGCCUUCGGGUUGUAAACCGCUUUCGCCUGUGACGAAGCGUGAGUGACGGUAAUGGGUAAAGAAGCACCGGCUAACUACGUG
rnacentral:rRNA from 1 species